CAGUGAAUCAUGCCUGACAUCGACAGGACAGUUGUUCUGGAAGCUCUCUCGGCCCUCACCGGGACAGAGGUGAAGCUUCACACUGAACGCAAAGGAUGGCAUGCUACACCUGAUGAACUGACCAUUGAUAAUUUUCUCCCGACUGUCUUUGAAGUGAGGUGUAUACCUUCUAAACCACCAGUAACUGCAGCUUCAGCUUCUUCUGAACCAUCUUUGCUUUCAUUGUUCAAGAAGUUGUUUCUAAGCUCUUCUGAUGAAGAACCUGAGACAGAAACCUCAGCUCUGAGGAAGGAGCUGUUCGUGGACUUAGAGGAUUUCUUAGAUCCAUCAUUUGAUUAUGAUUUCAGAGAAGGCUCUGAUUCCUCAGAGUGUUCCCGUGGUGAAGAACCGUACUCACGGCCCUGGGGGUGGUACCGCUUUGCUCUUAAGGUUCUGGACAAGUAUCCAGAUGGAAAUGCCUGGCUGGGUUCCUGGGGAUGGAGGAGUAACUCUUCAACUGGUGAGUGGCCAGUUUCCUUUCAUGGAACCAGCAUUGAGGGAGCUAAAGCCAUCGUAAGCUCCAAUUAUAUAGCAGGACACGGCCAAGUUUAUGGCCGAGGCAUCUACUCCACACCUGAUAUUGAGGAAGCAGAUCGUUACGCAAUGAGCAAGAUGUUCACUUCCAAAAAAACUGGAAAAACCUACAGAGUCAUCAUGCAGAACCGGAUCAACCCAGAGAAGAGGGUAUUCACUGAUCAGGAAGACUACUGGCUCAUCCCAGUUCCUAAGGGGACCUCAGCAGAAGAGGAGAAGAGGAUCGUGGAGGAAUCUAUCCGUCCUUAUGGAAUUCUGAUUAAAGAGGUGUAAUUUAAAAACCUCCAAAUGUUCCUCAUUUUAUAAUCAUAAAGUAAGUUUUAUGUACUUCCAGCAUGUUUAAUAACUUCUGUAACCUGUUUCUAUCUGAAGAAAUAAUUAGAGAAUAAAUUUUGAUGAUUGUUGGUUGAGAACAACUUUUCUUCUUGCCUAAUUUCUUCUUCAUUUAGAUUAAACUCAAAUUCUUACGUCACUGCAUUUAUAACACGUGACAUUAUUGAGCAUUAGCUUCUUUCUUUUAUGGCUAUAAGGAUUUUUGUUAAUGUGAAUUAAAUGUUCUGGGAGAAAAGCUACACCAUGAUAUGACCCUAAUGGACAUUCUGUAUUUGUCCAAUUGUGAAAAAAAACAUCAUGUAAUGCAAAAGAUACACAUAUGUAAUAAA
ensembl:lncRNA